rnacentral:lncRNA from 1 species
UUCUCUCAUUCUCUCUACUCAGGAAAGGGAGAAUAUCCCCAGCCCCAUUUCAAGCUGUCAUCAUGAACAGUAGUGGAGGAGUGGAUUUGCCAAACAGCUGUCAGAGCUGACACCAGGCAGUGUCAGCAGUGGGGCUGGAGCUAACCCUUGGUGGAGCGACUUUCCUCUUGCUCAAUUCCUGGGUUCCCUCCUACUGUUCUGAACCAAUGACGCAGAUGGCAAGUGAAACAGAUCAGCAAAGAGGCCCAAAGAAGCAAAGAAACUUGCCCAGGAUCACACAAAUCAGCAGGAGGAGCUGGGAUUUGCACACAUUUUCUUAGGGCCAUGAAAGAGCCAACCUAGAGGUCAAGCUAGCAUGCUAAGUGUGACAGUGAAGAAUGGUGGAAAGAAUAUGACUUGGUGAUGCUGGUUUGAACACCGAAUUAGUCCCCUUGGGAACACUCCAUCAUACAUCCCAUGUCAGGUAAGAUACAGAACAUGGUGGUACUUACUGUUGAGGCCAU